rnacentral:lncRNA from 1 species
CACGCGCUCGCUCGGAAGAUCCCGGAGGCAGCGAGGGGCACGCAAAGCCUCCUGGGAACGCCGCGCGCCGCGCGCGACCUCUCGCGCUCCUCCCUUCCCUCCAACGGGGCCCGCCCCUUCCGCGGCCUCCUUGUUCCGAAGCCUCGCGAGAAAAGCCGUCCCCGCCCGCCGCCAGAACUGACUUGACGAGCCUCGAUCACGUCGAUCGACGGGGCGGAUCGCCGAGCGCGCCCCUCGGUCUUCGGGGGCUCGCUCCGAAGUGAACCCCUUUGUGGGGUCCGAGGUCGGGGCGUUUGCUUUCUGCCGUUCCUGACCUGCAGCCCACUCCUCUCCAGAUGACUCGCACGGGAUCUCCCAGCCCCAGCCACGGCAUCGGGGCAGGUUGUGCAUUUUUUUUGUUUUUUUUUUUUCCUGCGAGGCUGAGCACCUGCGCUCCCGAGCGAGCAUCUGCAGCGGCCGCUGGGAUGCGCCGGCGCCGCGGGGAUGCAGAGCGUCCGGGGGACCGACUACGCGCCGCCUGCUCGCCUGGGCCGGGCUCUGUGCUGUUCGCCUCCGUGCGGUAUUGUCGCCAAGGAUAUUUACUCUUCUGAUUGUGCUAAAUUGCACUACUGAAGUGAAUGUUAAAUCACAUCAGGAAUCCUGGUCAAGAAGAAAGGUAAUGGCUACCAAAAAUCCCAUUCCAAAAGAUCUUUUUAUCCCACCAAAAUAAUCAUAUAGGGAUUUUUCACAACUUAGGAAAAGAGAAGCUAGCAAUAUGUAGAAAUUAACUUUCUGAGAUGCAUAAGAGAAUUUAUGCAUAAAUGAGAGACAUGGGGAUUAUGUUUAGAAAAUCCAAUACUACACAGUCACUUAUCUAGAGAUGACUCUCAAACUUUGCCAAAAAAUUACAAAGGAAGAAGGAAAACAUGUUAGCAAGGAAACUGCAUCAUCAAGCCCCCUACUUUCUUCUCAUUUGAGGUAUGAAAUGACUCUUAAGCCCUUACCUGGGACCUUUUGGACUAAGAAUUAUUAUAUAAAAAAACCACUCAUUCCCAUAAGCUUUGUGCUGUAGUCUAGGUUCUUACACACAGUAAAGGAGAAACAAGCGUGAGAAUGCACAAGAUAACAGACCCACUGGAAGUAAUAAGGAGUGAUAGAUAAUAACCAGACAGACAAGGGCCUGUCUUCCUUAAAGGAGUUGUGAAGGACUAGAGGAACCAGAAUGGGGCUAUUUGGUGAAGUGAUUGCAUGCAGCAGUGUGUUGCACUUCAAAUGAUCAUUGGCCGUGAAAAGACAAAACAAAUCGUGAUUCUUGCAUCUUAUUUAAGUGGUUGUUGAAUAUGUAAAAUACAUUUAAAUUCUAUCAAAAACAUCUCUUGAUCCUUGAUAGGGGAAGCUUCACUUUACUGGAAAAUUCACUUAUGUAGAAAAUCUCAUUCCCCCAAUAUUAUAUAUGACUGAGAUGUGAUUAUAUUUAACAGUAUUUAAUGUUAAUUACAUAGUGUGUUGUUUGAAGCAAUGUUGCCAUGACUUUGAUGUAGAACCAUUAUUCUUUACUGUUCCUGUGAAAGACAACCCAGGUACGUCAGAUAUUUCCAUGCAAAGAGGGGCGCCUGGGUGGCUCAUAUGGUUAAACAUCUGUCUUUGGCUCAGGUCAUGAUCUCAGGGUACUGGGAUCAAACCCUGCACCGGGCUCCCCACUCAGUGGGGAAUCUGCUUCUCCUUCUCCCUCUGCCCUUCCCUCUGCUUGUACUCUCUCUCAAAUAAAUAAAUAAAAUAUUCAAAAGCAAUUACUUCCAUGGAAAGAGAUCAAAUGGUUCAUAUCACCAUACCUUCAGUAGUUAGAUGGGAUGUGGCAACAGGUCUAACUGUAUGCCAGCACUCUCCCAACCCCUUCCUGUAAGACCCUCAACCAUAGUCCUGUUUUCAUUAAAAGUAGGGUAGGAAAAAUGUAGAAAAGCAGCAGGAAGAAAUGAACCUGGAAGUCUUAUAGCCAAUUAUUACUGUUGGCAAUCUCUGGGCAAUCUGCAGGAGGUCAGUUGCCUGUUUGUUGAAGUGCUGAUUGAAACUCUGGGACACCGGUUCUUUCCCUUAAUACAAAACCAAUUUCAAGCCAAGUCACUUAAGACCUUUUGAAAACCUUCUCCAAAAUAGCAUGUGAUAUCCUGAGGAAAAAAUAAACCAUGAUUUAGUAAACGAAAUGAUCCACGUAGUAAGGAUGGCUUUAUAUGGUGUUCUCACAGAAAGAGAAGGCACAGAUGGUCAAGUGUAGCCAGGAAAAAAAAUCUUUGGCGCACCCAUGUGAGUUCCAACUUGUAAUGGACUUCUCCAGAUUCCCAGCCCUACCAGUUCUGGGAAAUGGGUGGAAGCCAAGCCUAGGAAAUAGAAAGUCCACUUACCUGAUGAUGUUCUUGGAGAAAUUAAGGAAUGUUUAUGGCAUUUCAUAGUGACCAUGGCAUUAACUGUUGCUUCUUCAGAUUGAUUUUGCAAUAGGCACACUGUCAUUUCCCUCCAGAUGGCAAGUGUCAAAGCUGGUGAACAAUGCUGGCCUAAGAUUCCACUUCAGUUUAAUUGAUGAUAAUCAUGAUGAGAAAGACAACACAGUAAAAAGAAGGCCCACAGUAAUGAAGAUUUGGCUUUAUGGUGGUUGGCAGUUGACUCCUAUCCUCUGCUCAGGCCCUGUUCUCAGUUAACCUUACAUAACUUGACCUCGACCUUUUAUUUUUUUUAUUUUUUAUUUAUUUAUAUUUUAAAGAUUUAUUUAUUUAUUUAUUUAUUUAUUUAUUUAUUUAUUUAUGAUAGACAUAGAGAGAGAGAGAGAAGCAGAGACAUAGGAGGAGGGAGAAGCAAGCUCCAUGCCAGGACCCCGAUGCAGGACUUGAUCCUGAGACUCCAGGAUCACGCCCUGGGCCAAAGGCAGGUGCUAAACUGCUGAGCCACCCAGGGAUCCCCCGACUUUCUAUUUUUUUAAAGGAUUUUAUUUGUUAAUUUACUUGAGAGAGAGAGAAAGAGAGAGAGAGAGUGAGCAAAAGAGAAUGUGAGCUGCGGAGGAGCAGAGGGAGAGGGACAAACAGAUGCUGUGCUGAGCACAGAGCCCAAUGAGGGGUUUGAUUCCAUAACCCUGAGAUCACAACCCCAGCUGAAAUCAAGAGUUGGCUGCCCAACUGACUGAGCCACCUAGGCUUCCUGACCCUGAUUUUUAUAUGAAUGAACAUUUUGGGCCUCACUUCCAGUGUUAUACA